rnacentral:rRNA from 1 species
UACAGAGGUCCCAAGCGUUGUUCGGAUUCACUGGGCGUAAAGGGUGCGUAGGUGGUCAGGUAAGUCGGAUGUGAAAUCUCCGAGCUCAACUCGGAAACUGCAUUGGAAACUACCUGGCUCGAGGGUUGGAGGGGGGACUGGAAUGCUUGGUGUAGCAGUGAAAUGCGUAGAGAUCGGGAGGAACACCGGUGGCGAAGGCGGGUCUCUGGGCAUUUCGUGACGCUGAGGCGCGAAAGCGUGGGGAGCAAACGGG